AUUCAGCUGGAGAGUCCCAAAUGGGAUGAAACAUAAGUCCUGAAU
rnacentral:hammerhead_ribozyme from 1 species